rnacentral:rRNA from 1 species
AUUGAACGCUGGCGGCAGGCUUAACACAUGCAAGUCGAGCGGGGUGAUGGUGCUUGCACUAUCACUUAGCGGCGGACGGGUGAGUAAUGCUUAGGAAUCUGCCUAUUAGUGGGGGACAACAUCUCGAAAGGGAUGCUAAUACCGCAUACGUCCUACGGGAGAAAGCAGGGGAUCACUUGUGACCUUGCGCUAAUAGAUGAGCCUACGUCGGAUUAGCUAGUUGGUGGGGUAAAGGCCUACCAAGACGACGAUCUGUAGCGGGUCUGAGAGGAUGAUCCGCCACACUGGGACUGAGACACGGCCCAGACUCCUACGGGAGGCAGCAGUGGGGAAUAUUGGACAAUGGGGGGAACCCUGAUCCAGCCAUGCCGCGUGUGUGAAGAAGGCCUUAUGGUUGUAAAGCACUUUAAGCGAGGAGGAGGCUCUUUUGGUUAAUACCCAAGAUGAGUGGACGUUACUCGCUGAAUAAGCACCGGCUAACUCUGUGCCAGCAGCCGCCGUAA